AUCCAGCUGACGAGUUCUAAACCAAACGAAACUUGCGUCCUGGAU
rnacentral:hammerhead_ribozyme from 1 species